CCUACGGGUGGCAGCAGUGAGGAAUAUUGGUCAAUGGGCGCGAGCCUGAACCAGCCAAGUAGCGUGAAGGAUGACUGCCCUACGGGUUGUAAACUUCUUUUAUAAAGGAAUAAAGUGAGGCACGUGAGCCUUUUUGUAUGUACUUUAUGUAUAAGGAUCGGCAAACUCCGUGCCAGCGGCCGCGGUAAUACGGAGGAUCCGAGCGUUAUCCGGAUUUAUUGGGUUAAAAGGGUGCGUAGGGGGAAGGCCAAGUCAGCGGUAAAAUCGCGGGGCUAAACCUCGCUCCGCCGUUGAAACUGGCGUUCUUGAGUGGGCGAGAAGUAAGCGGAAUGCGUGGUGUAGGAGUGAAAUGCAUAGAUAUCACGCAGAACUCCGAUUGCGAAGGCAGCAUACCGGCGCCCAACUGACGCUGAAGAACGAAAGCGUGGGUAUCGAACAGGAUUAGAUACCCGGGUAGUC
rnacentral:rRNA from 1 species